CAGAGGCCAUCUGAAGCCAAAGAGAUAAAACUUUAUGCCCAGAUUCCCCCUAUAGAGAAGAUGGAUGCAUCCUUGUCCAUGCUUGCUAAUUGCGAGAAGCUUUCACUGUCUACAAACUGCAUUGAAAAAAUUGCCAACCUGAAUGGCUUAAGAGGCAGUAGGGGACACAUUAGAAGAACUGUGGAUCUCCUACAAUUUUAUUGAGAAGUUGAAAGGGAUCCACAUAAUGAAGAAAUUGAAGAUUCUCUACAUGUCUAAUAACCUGGUAAAAGACUGGGGUACUCCAGUAAUUAAAGGGGAUGAGGAAGAAGACAACUAAUGCCACGCUUUCCACUGUGUGUUAACUUAUUUAAAUGUCAUAAGAACAAUAGAUAAAUUUUAUAUAAUUGUCUAUUUUAAAGAUUCUGUAUGGGACAAAAGUUUCUUAAGAUAAAACAGAUCACUCAUUCUCA
rnacentral:lncRNA from 1 species